CUAGACUCAGAAGGAAGCUCAAGAACAAUUUUGUUUUGGGAGAAAAAUAGUACAGGCAAGCUGAAAACCCCAGCAGCCACGAGGAAGAGGGGAAAUGCUGGUCCUGGGUGGUCCUUCCUAACAAGUUUCACAGUCACUUCUUAAAUGGAUGGUUCUCUCUCCUGAGACUGCCUCCAAGCUUAACUAACAGAGGCUUCGAUGUCAACAGAGAUUCAAUAUUAUCCUCGAAACCGCAGCCCUGAUGGUUUCCCCAGUGUCCUCUUCCUUCAUCUGGUUUGUCAGCUUCAGUUCUUUCUGUCAUUCCUGAUGCAUUAGAGUCAUGACUCAUCACUGACUCAAAUACGGAUUUGAGGAGGAGAAGGAAGUGAAGAGUUAAUGCCAACGGGGUGAUCACCACAUUCUGGGAUUAUCAGUGAUGACUGCACAACUUUGAAAAAACUAAACCAUGAUUUUUUUUAUUAAUUUUUUAAUAUUUGUCAAUCGGUCUGUGUGUUGGGGAUGAAUGAGAA
rnacentral:sRNA from 1 species